CGAUGCUCCUGGCUGAUAAAUACUAACCUUGGGGAUUAUUGGUUUGGGGGUGAGUCUCUCGUGUAUAUUCUGCCCUUCCCUCUAGGACAAGCCCUGUAAACGGGGUCUAAUACCGGAUACCACCACCGGCCGCGAGGACUGGUGGUGAAAAGCUCCGGCGGUCUCGAUGAGCCCGCGGCCUAUCAUCUUGUUGGUGAGGUAACGGCUCACCACCGCGACAACGGGUAGCCGGCCUGAGAGGGCGACCGGCCACCCUGGGACUGAGACACGGCCCACACUCCUACUGGAGGCAGCAGUGGGGAAUAUUGCUCAAUGGGGGAAAGCCUGAUGCUCCGACGCCGCGUGAGGGAUGACGGCCUUCGGGUUGUUAACCUCUUUCAUCGUGGAAGAAGCGAAGGUGACGGUACCUGCAUAAUAAUCGCCGGCGAACUACAUGCCAACACCCGCGGUAAUACCUAGGGCGCGAGCGUUGUCCGGAAUUAUUGGGCGUAAAGAGCUCGUAUGCCGGCUGUCGCGUCGGAUGUGAAAGCCCGGGGCUUAACCCCGGGUCUGCCUUCGAUACGGGCAGACUAUAGUGUGGUAGGGGAGAUCGGAAUUCCUGGUGUAACGGUGAAAUGCUCACAUGUCAAGAGGAGCACCGCUGGCAAAUGCGGAUCUCUGGCCCAUUACUGACGCUCAGGAUCGAAUGCGUGUGGAGCUAACG
rnacentral:rRNA from 1 species